UACGUAGGCAGCGAGCGUUGUUCGGAGUUACUGGGCGUAAAGAGUGCGUAGGCGGCGAGCUAAGUCUGGUGUGAAAUCUCCCGGCUCAACUGGGAGGGUGCGCCGGAAACUGGGUUGCUUGAGUGUGGGAGAGGCUAGCGGAAUUCCUGGUGUAGCGGUGAAAUGCGUAGAGAUCAGGAGGAACACCUGCGGUGAAGACGGCUGGCUGGACCACGACUGACGCUGAGGCACGAAAGCGUGGGGAGCAAACAGG
rnacentral:rRNA from 1 species